rnacentral:rRNA from 1 species
GGCUAACUACGUGCCAGCAGCCGCGGUAAUACGUAGGUGGCAAGCGUUAUCCGGAAUUAUUGGGCGUAAAGCGCGCGCAGGCGGUUUCUUAAGUCUGAUGUGAAAGCCCACGGCUUAACCGUGGAGGGUCAUUGGAAACUGGGGAACUUGAGUACAGAAGAGGAGAGUGGAAUUCCACGUGUAGCGGUGAAAUGCGUAGAGAUGUGGAGGAACACCAGUGGCGAAGGCGACUCUCUGGUCUGUAACUGACGCUGAGGCGCGAAAGCGUGGGUAGCAAACAGGAUUAGAUACCCUGGUAGUCCACGCCGUAAACGAUGAGUGCUAGGUGUUAGGGGUUCCAACCCUUAGUGCUGCAGUUAACGCAAUAAGCACUCCGCCUGGGGAGUACGGCCGCAAGGCUGAAACUCAAAGGAAUUGACGGGGGCCCGCACAAGCGGUGGAGCAUGUGGUUUAAUUCGACGCAACGCGAAGAACCUUACCAGGUCUUGACAUCCCGCUGACCGGCCUAGAGAUAGGCCUU